rnacentral:lncRNA from 11 species
GAACAACCCUGGGGGCUCCUUCCUUGCCCUGCAUGGCCCAUCCCAGCCUCUUUCUUUGGGAAUCUGCAAGCCAGAAAAGUGUCUUUCUCCUGCCUGCAGCUCCUGCCACAGCCAUUCCCUAUUGCAGUGCAAGGAUCCUCUGCCUAGCUGGGCUUUCCCUUCUUUUUGGCUUGGAAGAAAGUUGGAAAAGAGGAAAAUAAACCCCAAAUUUGGAUAUAUAUUUUUUUAAAAAAAUGCAUUUUUAAUUUUUUUCUGCUUCUUGGAGGAUGCUGUGUAGUCAUCAAGUCUAAAGAGAGCUGGGCCACUCAAACUGCCUUCAGGUUAAGAAAUGGAGAACAACGGCAUGUAUCUUCACACCUUCAGCGAGAGGGAGAACGGAUCCAUCUUGGAAGAGCCCUUCGAUGAGAAGAACCUCUCGAAGAUGAACCUCUGCAAUGAAGGUCUUGGUAGGAAGAAGAAACUUUCAGGCACCUGCAGCCAGCUUGGUUCUGUGGCUGCCCUGAAAUAUGCCGUGGUUGGGCUAUACCUGUUGGUCUUCCUGAUCCUUGUGGGUGUUUUCAUCCUUGCAGGUAAGAUAUUGGAGAUAUAUCUAAGGAAUGGGAUGAUGGUUAGGGGAAAUUUCCUCUUUUUUCCAGAGCC